UACGUAGGGUGCGAGCGUUGUCCGGAAUUACUGGGCGUAAAGAGCUCGUAGGUGGUUUGUCGCGUUGUUCGUGAAAACUCACAACUCAAUUGUGGGCGUGCGGGCGAUACGGGCAGACUGGAGUACUGCAGGGGAGACUGGAAUUCCUGGUGUAGCGGUGGAACGCGCAGAUAUCAGGAGGAACACCGGUGGCGAAGGCGGGUCUCUGGGCAGUAACUGACGCUGAGGAGCGAAAGCGUGGGGAGCGAACAGG
rnacentral:rRNA from 1 species